rnacentral:tRNA from 1 species
GGGGUUGUAGCUCAGUGGUAGAAUGCUUGCCUUGCAAGCAUGAGAUCCUGGGUUCCAUCCCCAGCACCA